GUUUUAAUAGCUUAAUUAGAGCAUGAUAUUGAAGGUAUCAAGGUGAUUUGUCUUAAAAUA
rnacentral:tRNA from 1 species